CAAGAGGCGGGCCACGGGCGACGUCAUUCAGGAAAGCCGCCCUGAUUGGAAGGAAGGAGGCGGAGUCUAGUUUCCCUGGUGACGGGUUGUCCGGUGGUCGCCUGGUAACCGGUCGUGGCUGUACUGGCUGCUGCAGGGCUGGCGGCUUAGGCCGCAGAGGUCUGUGGGCCUGAGCCCACGCUGCACUCUGUCCGUCCUGCGAUGACUGCUGCCCUGGCCGUCGUCACGACGUCGGGUUUGGAAGAUGGGGUGCCUAGGUCCCGUGGCGAAGGGACCGGGGAAGUGGUCGUGGAGCGGGGGCCCGGCGCGGCCUACCACAUGUUCGUGGUGAUGGAGGACUUGGUGGAGAAGCUGAAGCUGCUCCGCUACGAGGAGGAGUUCCUCCGGAAGAGCAACCUGAAGGCCCCGUCCAGACACUAUUUUGCACUGCCUACCAACCCUGGUGAACAGUUCUACAUGUUUUGUACUCUUGCUGCUUGGUUGAUUAAUAAAGCAGGACGUCCCUUUGAGCAGCCUCAAGAAUAUGAUGACCCUAAUGCCACGAUAUCUAACAUACUAUCCGAGCUUCGGUCGUUUGGGAGAACUGCAGAUUUUCCUCCUUCAAAAUUAAAGUCAGGUUAUGGAGAACAUGUAUGCUAUGUUCUUGAUUGCUUAGCUGAAGAAGCAUUGAAAUAUAUUGGUUUCACCUGGAAAAGGCCAAUAUACCCAGUAGAAGAAUUAGAAGAAGAAACUGUUGCAGAAGAUGAUGCAGAAUUAACAUUAAAUAAAGUGGAUGAAGAAUUUGUGGAAGAAGAGACAGAUAAUGAAGAAAACUUUAUUGAUCUCAACGUUUUAAAGGCCCAGACAUAUCACUUGGAUAUGAACGAGACUGCCAAACAAGAAGAUAUUUUGGAAUCCACAACAGAUGCUGCGGAAUGGAGCCUAGAAGUGGAACGUGUACUACCGCAACUGAAAGUCACGAUUAGGACUGACAAUAAGGAUUGGAGAAUCCAUGUUGACCAAAUGCACCAGCACAAAAGUGGAAUUGAAUCUGCUCUAAAGGAGACCAAGGGAUUUUUGGACAAACUCCAUAAUGAAAUUACUAGGACUUUGGAAAAGAUCGGCAGCCGAGAAAAGUACAUCAACAAUCAGCUUGAGAAUUUGGUUCAAGAAUAUCGUGCAGCUCAAGCCCAGCUGAGUGAGGCAAAGGAGCGAUACCAACAGGGAAACGGAGGAGUAACGGAAAGAACCAGACUCCUCUCUGAGGUUAUGGAAGAAUUAGAAAAGGUAAAACAAGAAAUGGAAGAAAAGGGCAGCAGCAUGACUGAUGGUGACAAAUAUACUAGCUCAUAAAAUCAUCUUGAACACAUCCUUAAACACCUGUUUAGCAGCUCUUCCCCUAGAAAAGGAAGAAAGUUUAGUCUCAGUACAUCAAAUACUACAUCAUUUUUCAUCCUAAAAAAUCUCAGCUCCUUUGGUGAAGAUUAAACAGAGCUUAACAAAACUGAAACAAGAAACUGUAGAGAUGGACAUUAGAAUUGGCAUUGUGGAACACACACUACUCCAAUCAAAGCUGAAGGAGAAGUCCAACAUGACUAGGAACAUGCAUGCCACAGUUAUUCCAGAACCAGCAACAGGCUUUUAUUAAAACGUACUGGUUUUCAUGUU